UAUCAGUCCAACCGUCUAUGUCU
rnacentral:siRNA from 1 species